rnacentral:lncRNA from 10 species
CCUGAUCUGAACUGGGCCAAUCAGAUUCUCUGUCCCGAGAGUGUGAACUUAGGAUGCGGGGCCUCUUAGACCCUGUGGUGGCCCCAAGAGACAGGCUGCUUCCUGGAGGCCACAGUAAGUGGAACAGAGAAAGCUGGUUCUGGCAAGAGGCUGUCGGGCAGCAGGAGAGACUGGGCUCCCGUGGCCCAGGGACUGCUGGGGAAAGGAGCUGCUGCCGUGGACACAUAUGGCUUCUGGGGUCCUGGUUCCAGGUCUAGGGAGAGGCCUGGCACCUCUGCCCCUGGCAGGCUAACUCUGAAGAUGAAUCAAAAGCAGCUGUUACAGUGCCUGUCAUGAAGUGCUU